rnacentral:rRNA from 1 species
UGAAUUUGUGGGCUUUCCUUGUCGCUACCACACAUACACCAGUGUAAUUGUUUAGAAGGAAAUGGAAUUUGAUGCAUAAUACAACUUUCAGCAACGGAUCUCUUGGCUCUCGCAUCGAUGAAGAACGCAGCGAAAUGCGAUAAGUAAUGUGAAUUGCAGAAUUCAGUGAAUCAUCGAAUCUUUGAACGCAUCUUGCGCUCCUUGGUUAAUCCAAGGAGCAUGCCUGUUUGAGUGUCAUUAAUGUCUCAACCACACCGUGAGGUGUGGCUUGGAUUUGGGGGUUACAGGCCUAGUCUGCUCCCCUGAAAUACAUGAGUGGUAACGACCUCUCCAUUAAGAUGUGAUACAUAUCUGCAUCUGGUCGAGGGUUCUGCUGCUAUAUAAGAGUUGGAUUUGAUAAACUUGACCUCAAAUCAGGUAGGACCACCCGCUGAACUUAAGCAUAUCAAUAAGCGGAGGAAAAGAAACUAACCAGGAUUCCCUUAGUAACUGCGAGUGAAGUGGGAAGAGCUCAAAUUUGUAAUCUGGCGGCC